UACGUGAAACCGUUCAGGGGUAAACGUGAGAGACCCGAAAUUGCACAACCGGAGAGAUUCACGCCCAUCCGGUGUCCGUCCCUUCGGCAGCCAGAUGGGGCCGCGCGCCCGCACGGAGCAAUCCGUGACGGGGUCGUUUGCGGUUGCCUAUCCACUGGUUGUUCGGAUGUGUGGCGGGCUCGGUGGGCCGCAUUUCUCUCCAUGUUGGACGUCGCGACCCGUUGGGUGCCGGUCUAAGGCCCGGGAUCUGAGUCUGUCCGGCCGCUUUGCGUGUCGGACAGCAGCCCGGUGUUCCCGGCCGGCGGCUCGACGGUACUGUUGCACGGAGUUGAUUCGCCACCCUUCGGGGUGGGCGCCCGGCCCCCGGCAAGCGCGUGCGCGGUUCUGGAUGACGGACUUCUGGUCCGGCUCUGGGCCCGCAUCGCUGUUAGCCCGGGGUGUCUCGGACGGAAGAAUCGUUGACUCCGGUCAGCGGCGCUAAAGCUUUGGGUAAUUUCACGACCCGUCUUGAAACACGGACCAAGGAGUCUAACAUGUGCGCGAGUCAUUGGGCUGUAAAACCCAGAGGCGCAAUGAAAGUGAAGGUCUCGCCUUGCGCGGACCGAGGGAAGAUGGAGCGCGCGUCAGCGUGUCUUCCGCAUU
rnacentral:rRNA from 1 species